GGUAGUGUGGCCGAGCGGUCUAAGGCGCUGGAUUUAGGCUCCAGUCUCUUUGGAGUCGUGGGUUCAAAUCCCACCACUGCCA
rnacentral:tRNA from 1 species